GAUGAACGCUGGCGGCGUGCCUAAUACAUGCAAGUCGAGCGAACAGACGCGGCGUUUGUUCGUUCGAUGUUAGCGGCAGACGGGUGAGUAACAUGUAGGUAACCUACCUUUCAGUCUGGGAUAACUCCGGGAAACCGGCUCAUAUACCGGAUAAACUUUUGAUCGGAUUGGUUCGAUAGUGAAAGAUGGUUUUGGUGUGACUUAUACACGGACCGGCGCCGCAUUAGCUAGUUGGUAUGGUAUAGGCUUACCAAGGCAACUAUACGUACCUGACCUGAUAGGGUUGUCGGGCACACUGGAACUAAUGCACGUUACAGACUCCUACGAGUGGCAGCAGUAGAGAAUGUUCCGCAAUGGGCGAAAUCCUGACAAGGCAACGCCAGGUACGUGAUGAAGGGCUUCGAGGCGUUAGACUCUGUAAUUAGUGAAGAACAAGCUUAUAAGGAAAUAUUCGCUGCGUGGCGGUACCUAAUCAGAGAAGCACGGCUAAACUCGGU
rnacentral:rRNA from 1 species